AACUCUCAAUUUGGAUCGUUCUCUGCUCCUCAUCUCUCUGUGGCUCUACAUUGUUCUUGGCAAUAAAGACAUUUGACGUGUGAGCCUCCUCGCCGCCCACCCUCCCGAUCUCCCUCGCUCGGUUUCCGCGGUUACCAGUCGCUCUGCUUGGUUAUGCAAUGCACGGCGCUCUCAGGCUCCGAGACGGGACCUAUAACCACACGACUGCCAUCGGCUACGGACAGAGAACGGCAGGGUGGGGAGCUCGCAGCCACAGAUCGCCAAUCUCCCGAGCAUCCGGAGGCAUCCACGCACAUCUGUAGGGCUUCUACACCCACAGAAAAAGCGGAGCGCAAAAGGAGGGAAAGAAAUCACGGAGGAGGGAAAGGAGAGAAGAUAUGCAUCUCCUGUGAUGAGACCACAGCAUGCUGGAUCUUCCCCCAGAUCUCCCACGCCGUAGGAUAAGCACCCUGGAGACAGAGGUGGGGGGGUCAGAAUGGGGACGACCACUGUCAGUAUAGAGGAGGUUCGGGCGCAAGAGGGUAAAGAGGAGCGAGAGGAGUCCAUAUUGGCCCUUCUGGGGAUCAUAGGCACCUUCUUGAACCUCUUCGUCAUUGUGUUUGUUUACAUCUACACAACUCUGUGAGGAGGAUCCACACGUGGAUGAGGUGAGGGGUGGGGUCCGACGAAGAUAUGACAGCAGGGUUGAUGUCUUACAGAGAAGAUGGUGGAAGAUGACACUGGGCAGCAUCAGUCAGAGACAGUGACGCUUACUCUUUGACCUCUGACCUAUUCGGAUAUACACAAACGCAAUGGAUGUCAGUUCAAAACAGAUCUCUGGACAUAAAGAGAACGAAUCAUGGAUACACCUGAUUUGCAUCCUUGCAGGAUGUGGUCACCAGCCAAAGGACAGUAUGUUUCCCCAGCAACUGAAAUAACAUCGAGCACUGCCUGGCUGUGAUUAUAAGAAUGCACAUAGGGAAAGACCCUACUGGACAAACAAGAACGUCACAGGGCAACAGAACAUCUCCUUUAGUAUUUGCCCACCAAUUGAAAAAAAAAAUCUGCAAUAAAAUGGAAAAACGGGAAGUAUGACAUAUUUUUCUAUUAAGAGAGAAUUAACAGAGAAGAAUGAUAGACUCUGGAACCCAUCUGCAGUUUUCAAAUUCUGGACCUUAUGGGAACAGGCAGUUCGCAGAUAUUUGGACACUUUUUCACUACAGUUCCUCCUUUCUGACAGCAGGGAGGAUAAACAGACAAAUAAUGAGUGUGCGUGUGUGUGUGUUUUCUCUCUGAUUUGAGUGCAGUGUCAGACACGUUGUUUCUGUGCAAAGGAAAAUGCUUUUGUAUUGAUACAUGAUUACAUACUAGAUGUACUGUGCCAUAGAUAAUCUGAUCAAUAAAAUAAUAUUCUAUGGAUCAGG